ensembl:lincRNA Gm14487 predicted gene 14487
GGAGGACCCAGGAACCAGAUGUCUGUUGCGCUGGGCACCAUUUGGCAACACACUGGCUGAUGCUUUAACAAGUACUCGGAAGCCCAGAAACAUGGUUCCUUGCUGUCUCCAGGCCCUGUCUAAGGUUCCCGGAGCCCCUGUCCUCAGAGGAAGAGGAGGAAAGAACCUGUCUCCAGCCACCGUCCUGGUAGCGUGCAGGCAGAGACAGCAGGAACCAGGGCAAGCCUCUCAGGCUUCUGGAACCCAGGUGGAGGAGACCCUGACUCCCCAGUUGAGCAGAAUUAAGACAGAUUUCUCUGCGACCCACUGCUUACAGGAGUUCCCAGCCACGAGGCUAGAGUGACCUAUGUGACUACUUUCCUGAAUUCACAUUGGGAUAAGGCUCUGCCCUUUGCAGAAGUGACUCCUGUCCCAGCAAGCCAAGGGUCUCUCAGUGGCCUGGACUUCAUUCACCAUGUAAGCUGGCCGUCGAGUCCCAGGGAGCUGCCUCUCUCUGUGCCCUCAGUGCUGACUUUACAAUGCAAUUCGCUUGCCUGUUUUACAUGGGUCCAGAGGAUCCUCCCUAAAUCUUUACCAUAACAAGUUCUCUCUCCAGCCCCCACUGCCUAAAUCUUUAUCAUUUUUAUCCUUUAGUUGCUGACAGGUGCAUGAAUCUAGAUUUGACUUGUUUUCUUGCCUGCAAUACUUUGGGUCACCAGAAAGUCCUUCCAGGCCUUUUCUUGUUAGGGUGGCAUGAUGCUAUAGGUAGGCUUUAGUGUAUUCCUGAGAACAAAAUAAAGAAAACCAUCAACCUGUACUAGCAAGGGGUCCAACAUCGAGCUGUGACCCGACAGCCUUUAGAGUGGCUAAGGCAGAGUGACCACAGCCAUUCCUCUCUUUCAAGUUCCAAUGUGACACUUCUUUGAAUCUUCUCCCUGCACAGCCCCCUAACCAGGCCACCCCUCUUGCUUCCCAGGGCUAGGAAAAUAGGGUGUAAGUGUCUGUUGGACCUGGAUUAAAGCUCUGCCUGGUACAUCGGCACAAUGAUGGGGCUACUUUGAAAAUAGGAAAUGGAUCACAGUAUUGCACACAAGAGGUCAAAACUAGUGAACGCUCAGAAGAGGGGCUGGCGCGAUGGAAAAGCUGGCGAAGUACGAAGACCUGAGCUCGUUUCUGGGACCCACAGAGUGGAUGGAGAGAACUGACUCCUGCAAGCUGAGCCCUCUGACUGUCACACAUGUCUGUGCAUGAGUGUGUCCCCUCUAAAUAAAAUGUAAUAAAAAAUUUAAAUGCUU